GGGAGUCCAAGGUGCAGGUGGGAUUCCCUUGAUGCAGCAGCCACAGCAGGGUCCUCCACAAGCAGAACCAGUGAGAAGAUUCAAGCGCUUUCUGAUAAGGAGGGCUCACACCAUGAAACCUGAUUUGGACAUUCAGAUUUCAACUGAGACAACCACAACUCCAUCCUCAACUACUUGUUUAGACAAUAUUCAAGUUUAGAGUGGCCAAAUUGGAUUGGAACAAGGU